rnacentral:lncRNA from 1 species
GCUGGGCCUAGGCCGGACGCUGCGCCGUGCGGGGACCCGCGGCCCCGAGGGACGCUUAGAUCGGGCCGGAGGCGGCGCGCUUGGGCGGCGACCGGUACCGCAGGGUGGAGGGCCCGGACGCCGGUUAUAGAAGGCGGUUCUAGCGGAGCUGCGGCACAUGGCGGGGAGGCGUCACGGUGUUGGUUUUCCUUGCGGGCUGCCAGGUCGUCUCUCUCCCUCCCGGGCUGCUUCUCCCCCGGUGCUUGGUUUCUCCCCGGUGCUCGGAGCCGUGGCCAGGCGACCUUUCGGGGAUGCUGCCCGUUCUCGCAGACUGUCUUGCGUUGUGGAAGUAUGCGAGACUUAAUCGCUCAAGUGACUAGUGGUCUCCUGCAUUUCCCACAAGUGACUACUCAAGCCCUUGGAGAAGAUGAAAUAACAUUAGAAUCAGUGCUUCGGGGAAAAUUUGCUGCAGGGAAAAAUGGACUUGCAUGCUUGGCUUGUGGUCCACAGCUUGAGGUUGUGAACUCUGUAACAGGAGAGCGGUUGUCUGCAUAUCGAUUCAGUGGAUUAAAUGAACAGCCUCCUAUAGUCCUUGCUGUCAAAGAAUUCUCUUGGCAGAAGAGAACUGGAUUGUUAGUAGGAUUGGAAGAAGCCGAAGGGAGUGUUCUCUGUCUUUAUGACCUGGGUAUAUCAAGAGUGGUUAAAGCAGUUGUUCUUCCUGGAAGGGUAACAGCUAUUGAACCUAUAAUUAAUCAUGGCGGAGCCAGUGCAAGCACUCAGCAUUUACACUCAAACCUGCGAUGGCUUUUUGGUGUGGCAGCUGUGGUCACUGAUAUUGGACAAAUCCUUCUGGUUGACCUGUGUUUGGAUGACUUAUCAUGCAAUCAAAAUGAAAUAGAAGCGUCAGGUAAUUAGCCAUUUUUUACUUGAAAUCAAAAUUGAGGAUUUGAAUGUUCUGACUCAAUGGAAUGUUUUUUAAAAUGGCCCAAAAUUUUUAUACAGUAUAGCAAAUUGUUUAUAUAUUUUUGUUUCUUUUGUUGUAUGUUCCUAGGCACUGUGAAGAUUCUUCUUGCAUGGGUUACUCUAUUUUGUGAAAGUGUUCAUAUGCUAAAGUAGGCCUCUGACUCAAUGGAAUGUUUUUUAAAAUGGCCCAAAAUUUUUAUACAGUAUAGCAAAUUGUUUAUAUAUUUUUGUUUCUUUUGUUGUAUGUUCCUAGGCACUGUGAAGAUUCUUCUUGCAUGGGUUACUCUAUUUUGUGAAAGUGUUCAUAUGCUAAAGUAGGCCUUAAAAAUGUAGAGAUGUUAAUCUCUUUAUAUAUAUAUAUAUAUAUAUAUAUAUAUAUUUCUCUUUUCAUCAUACAUAUAC